GAUGAACGCUGGCGGCGUGCUUAACACAUGCAAGUCGAACGGAAAGGCCCAAGCUUGCUUGGGUACUCGAGUGGCGAACGGGUGAGUAACACGUGGGUGAUCUGCCCCGCACUUCGGGAUAAGCCUGGGAAACUGGGUCUAAUACCGGAUAGGACAGUGGUUUGGAUGCCAUUGUGGAAAGUUUUUUCGGUGUGGGAUGAGCUCGCGGCCUAUCAGCUUGUUGGUGGGGUAAUGGCCUACCAAGGCGUCGACGGGUAGCCGGCCUGAGAGGGUGUACGGCCACAUUGGGACUGAGAUACGGCCCAGACUCCUACGGGGGGCAGCAGUGGGGAAUAUUGCACAAUGGGCGCGAGCCUGAUGCAGCGACGCCGCGUGGGGGAUGACGGCCUUCGGGUUGUAAACUCCUUUCGCUAGGGACGAAGCGUUAUGUGACGGUACCUAGAGAAGAAGCACCGGCUAACUACGUG
rnacentral:rRNA from 1 species